rnacentral:rRNA from 1 species
GACGAACGCUGGCGGCGUGCUUAACACAUGCAAGUCGAACGGAAAGGCCCUGCUUUUGUGGGGUGCUCGAGUGGCGAACGGGUGAGUAACACGUGAGUAACCUGCCCUUGACUUUGGGAUAACUUCAGGAAACUGGGGCUAAUACCGGAUAGGAGCUCCUGCUGCAUGGUGGGGGUUGGAAAGUUUCGGUGGUUGGGGAUGGACUCGCGGCUUAUCAGCUUGUUGGUGGGGUAGUGGCUUACCAAGGCUUUGACGGGUAGCCGGCCUGAGAGGGUGACCGGCCACAUUGGGACUGAGAUACGGCCCAGACUCCUACGGGAGGCAGCAGUGGGGAAUAUUGCACAAUGGGCGGAAGCCUGAUGCAGCAACGCCGCGUGCGGGAUGACGGCCUUCGGGUUGUAAACCGCUUUCGCCUGUGACGAAGCGUGAGUGACGGUAAUGGGGAAAGAAGCACCGGCUAACUACGU